CAAGCCCAGCGCAUAAUCUCCCGGGCUACCAAGCUUGCGGCGAAAUGUUGCGUUACGGGAAAGGUCGACUAUAAGCCCUGCACAACGUGUAUCCUAAAUGCGUUUUGAGAUGUCGCGUGGCUUUAACGAGUCAUACGAUGCCAUAGAGGGUGCCAGCCCCGUGUGGACACGUUUAAGUGCUAUGGGUUCGGCUUCUAUUCCCUGAGAGUCGCGUUGCUUAAUAAUGCAGCGCUAAGCAGGACGUAAACUCGUCCUAAGGCUAAAUAUUUCCACAGAACCGAUAGUAAACAAGUACCGUAAGGGAAAGUUGAAAAGCACUCUGAAAAGAGAGUCAAAAGACCGUGAAACCGUUCAGUGUAUAGGCCGAUGGUUGUGAGAAAGCCGGGAUUGCAGGCUUGACCUUAACUGUUUCGUGGGGUUUUAGAGGCGAGGGCUGGCGACUCUUUAAGUGGGUAGGGCAUAUGACCAGCGCGGUGUUUGUUGGGCUAAGUUCUGAAAACGUUGCUUGUCUCGUUAGUAUGAUUGCCCGGCAUGAUCUGUGGCCCUGCUGAAAAGACACCAUUGCGAGUAAUCCCAUACGGCUGACCUACAACUCUUUACGAGGUCACCCACGCGUAAGUGCACACGUGUGUGCUUUGUCGGGCGAGCUGCUGGUGGUCUAUACGUCGAUUUAUAUAUGCUGGUGGCCGGCCGAUACAAUCCAUGUCGCGUGGGCUAUGAUCCUCUGUGAAGGUUGCUAUCUGACUCUGCUGGGCAGAAAUGGUAGUUUUACACCUUCGGUAGUCUAUAGUGGGCUGCGCUGGAGAGUCAAGCCCUGCGGGUGUCGUAUGUCUGGUGGGGAACUGGUUCAACGUCUUUGACCAUCGGUCACGUCUCGAAACACGGGCCAAGGAGCAUAGCAUGCGCGCAAGUCUAAGGGUCCCACAAAACCUGGAGGCGAAGUGAAAGCAAGUAGUGUGUCGACCCUCGGGUUGGCAGCUGGGGUGGUGCGUACUUCCUCCAUUGAUGAUUGCGUCCACCUUGCUUAACCGGACUGAUCCUAAUGCAAUCAAGCCAGUUGGCGUUGCUGGGCGCAAGUCCCAGGCUCUCGUUUGUGUGCGCAGCAUGCGCGGGAGUACUGUUAGCGCGUAUGCUAUGACCCGAAAGAUAGUGAACUAUGCCUGACGA
rnacentral:rRNA from 1 species